UCCAAAAAUUCAUCAAAGUCCUCAUCUUCUACAUGUGAAAUAAACAGCUGGGCUAAAUUUCUAUCAAACACGCCAGCUUCACUUCCGUCAUCAUCAGAGUCUGUCUCGUUGUGGUGCGGCUCCUCGCCAAAGCUCAAAUAAUAGUGCAAGCGGACACAUUAUCCAAGCAUAUACAAUCCAUUUACAAACUGUGGCGUAACUCGCCUGGUGCUGAAUCCCAGUAUAAGGAGCGGAAGAUGGACAACUUUUCAUUGUAAUCCGCUAGAAGUUGCUGCGCUCAAGUCAAUCUUUCAACUCGGAGCGCCUCGCCUUGUUUCCGUGGAAACUCAGUUGCGUCUUCUUGUCUUGUCUAAGUUUGUUUUCCAGCUUCCUCCACUUGCGAACCGUGGAUACAUUAAUCUUAAAUUCUCUCGUACCUGCUCGAUACCCAUGUUCCUCUGCGUAGCUGAUAGCUUGCAGUUUAAACUCAUAAGCGUGUCUUUUGCAGGUGGCAUUUUCAGGGUUGAUGAAACGUUGUUAUUCUGCUGAAUGCACAUACUUGCACUUUUGUACUAGUCAGGAGGGGGGGGGGGUGUUUUCUUUCAAGUCCUCACUUUCCUCCUCACCGUUUUCAUCCUGUUUUUCAUGCUGUUCUCUCCUAAGCCCUUUUUACUGAAGUCACACAACAACACAUCAGGUGCUCCGUACAUUUUGGAGCAAAUUUAAGACUUUUAAGUGUGCGUUAUGGUCGUGAAAGUACGGUAUAUAGAAAAUAUGAUAAGAGGCAGAGAGCUGCAUGCUUAUUGGCCUAGAGCUGCAUGUGGCUCCAGAGCCGCGUGUUAGCCACCCCUGUACUAGAGUGUGGCCUAUGGAUACCGUACAACAGUAUCACCUGUAUGUCAUGAGUGCGAGCAACUUCAGGAUAAAGUUACCAGAUGCACGACAAUUGUACGUUUAAUUUUCAUGAGGUGGACACACGAGCCUCAAGGGAACCGUAAGACACUAUUGCACUGCAAAUUUUGUCGAUCUACCUAAGUUUAUUGUAGUGUAUAGCAACAGACGGGCUAGUUGUGAUGACGUCAUCAAGGAGUUGUAGAAAGUACGAGAGAGAAAAUAAAAAGCAUGGUGACUGCUAUCCAGAGUCCGGUGAAUCAUUCAGAGUGAAUUAAAAGAGAAACACUACAAUUAUUAAUCUUAAAACUAGUGGUAAAAUCUUAUCAAUCUUGAUUUUAGACGAAAACAACAGCAUGUGUAAGAUUAUUAAACUUGUUUUAAGAAAAAUAUGCAUUACCAUUCUUCAUUAGUUUGUAAAUCUAAAAAUUAGUCAUUUUACAUGCAAAACAAGAAAAAUACACUGCAGGCCUGAUUUAAGGACAGGAAAAGGUCUUAAUUUAAGUUUAUUUUAGAUUUUACCACAUAUUAUCUCAUAUUCAAAAAUGAAUUUGAAAAUUGAUAUAUUCAACAGCUCCUACAUUGUAAAAAAGGAUACGAUGAAUAUGUAUAGUUUUUACUGCAAUAACAUCCUCAACAUUGUAUUACUGGCCGAAGAAGUGUGCAUUAUUACUUUUUAACGCACGCCGUGGAACCCUGAACCUUGCUUCCGCGAAGUGCGUUAAAAAGUAAUAAUGCACACUUCGUCGUAAGAUGUGGCUGCUCCUGUCCACAACCCUCCACUGGCCUGGGCAACCCAAAAUCCACAGCAACCUUACAAGUCAACCGCCCUAUGGGUGAGGUUGACUAAGGCAUUACAUGUAUGUUCAUGAGGACAUUGAGAAAAGACAGUAUAGAGAUGAGGACUUGGAAUAAAAGUUUGAGAUUUUUGAGUUAUAUUUCUGACUGUUUGCCUCUUCAAGUAAAACACAGAAAAUUCCUGUUAUGGUUUCCACAAGCGAUUAUUUCCAACUUAGUAUUCUGGAAGAAAAUAGUCUUGGUGACAAUAAGAAACAAAUCUACAGAACUACAAGAGUGUGGCAUAAGGACACCAUACGAUAUCAUUAUCUGUAUGUCAUAAAUGCAAACAACUUACAUUAUCCUAACAAAUACUUCUCGACACACACAUGCAAAGGUGAAAUGAUAUGAUCCAUUUUCAUGACGUCCCUUGAUGUAGCCGCAUGAGCCUAAAGGGAACUACUAGACACACCUGUACUCCUCUUAAGAUUGAGAUUUUUAGGCAUUAACUAAAAAUGCAUCUCAAAACAAUCUAAAACGACCAUUACAGAUUCUUGACCAAAGGAGAAACAAUGAAGACCUUUUUUGGAAAUUUUAUUAUCUGUGGCUUUUUUAAUAAAACAAAACUGAAGUGCUUUUCUGGGGAUUCCAAUGGUUAUCGUGGGAGACUUUAAAAUAAUCACUUUGAAUAUUGGUUAAUACUUUUCAUUGUCUUUGUUUCUGAACACAAGGCUUGAUUUCUGUUUUUUUAUUCUUUAUGACUCAUAGCAGCUACUUUCUGAAACCUGGUGGAAUGCAUUCACUCCUCUCCACGCCUACAUACGAUGCAACUGCUCUGUUAAUUGUAAAACUGAAAAGAUCUGAGGCCUGAGUCACUUGUCAUACAGAUCCAUGCAGCAAGGGAGUUGAGCGACAAGUGGGUGGUAUAGCAGUAAAAUAGGAAAAAACAAAAGCAAGGUUAUGACGGAAAACUAACUGAUGUCCUUCAUUAAAUCAGCAGAAUUAUCUUCUACAGGUCAACAGAUAAAAUCAAGGUUACAGAGCUAAGGAAGGGUCCAAAGGGAAGCCAGAGGUAAUUCAAACAAGAUGCACUAUGGAUACUGCUGUGAUGCAGAUGAGCUUCAAUAAUGGACAGCUUUUGAAUUUUUAUGCCCCACAUUGCUUGGUUGAAAUGAAUACUGAGAGAGGGAAGGAAUACAAAGGUCAGUAGAAAAUAGCAAAAGCAGAAUCAGCACUCUGAACGCCCCAUUAGAGCAGCAUUUACUGUCAUAACACAACAUCUUCUGGACUUCAGCGGGCUUAUCACGGAAACUCAGGAGAAUGAGGGUGGUAUCCAUUCAGCUUAUAAAACCUGGCAAAAACAAGACAAGACCCUAAAAUGGUUGGAUGGGAACCACAGGUGGUAAGCUCAUUCCAUUCACUGAUUAUUGAAAGUGUUAAGCUACAUUAAAGCUAUGUUCACGCCACCCUUAGAAAUCCACAUUCAAGUGACCACUUCCAAGGAAGAAUCUAUGGAAACACCUGUAAAUUUGUUUUACUAUUUCUUUGGGGUAAUUUUCAGCCAUUGUUAAAAGUUAAAACAUUUGUCUUUUCACUAAAAGAGAAAUGUUUCACACUUUGUCUUGGUCAUCUCAUCUACUAGGCCAUGGUUGAAUUCAAUACAAAUAAUAUUGCAACACACAAGAAACCUUAAAGCAAUUAAAAAAAAAAUAGAACUAAGCUGAGAAUAGAAACAGGAAAAUUGAGAUUUUCUGUGGUGGAACCUUCCAAAAUGUUGUGUCUCUUUCUUCUUGGCGCUGCUCCCUUUUUUUCCAGAUCCACUGAUUGGAUAAGGAGUGUACCUGGUGGAGGGAAGGAAAAUACCACAGCAUUCUUUGGUACACACUCAGCCGUGUGGAGACACGCACUAAAAACAUGGGCUUGGUGUGACAUGUUUCACUGAGAGAAAUAAAAGAGGCCACUCCAUUG